CUACGGGAGGCUCCAGUGAGGAAUAUUGGACAAUGGUCGAAAGACUGAUCCAGCCAUGCCGCGUGCAGGAUGACUGCCCUAUGGGUUGUAAACUGCUUUUAUACGGGAAGAAAAACACCUACGUGUAGGUGACUGACGGUACCGUAAGAAUAAGGACCGGCUAACUCCGUGCCAGCAGCCGCGGUAAUACGGAGGGUCCAAGCGUUAUCCGGAAUCAUUGGGCUUAAAGGGUCCGUAGGCGGACUAUUAAGUCAGAGGUGAAAGUUUGCAGCUCAACUGUAAAAUUGCCUUUGAUACUGAUAGUCUUGAAUUGUAGUGAAGUGGUUAGAGUAUGUGGUGUAGCGGUGAAAUGCAUAGAUAUCACAUAGAAUACCGAUUGCGAAGGCAGAUCACUAACUAUAUAUUGACGCUGAGGGACGAAAGCGUGGGGAGCGAACGGGAUUAGAUACCCCUGUAGUC
rnacentral:rRNA from 1 species